CAGCAGCCGCGGUAAUACGUAGGGUGCGAGCGUUGUCCGGAAUUAUUGGGCGUAAAGAGCUUGUAGGCGGUUUGUCGCGUCUGCUGUGAAAAUCUGGGGCUUAACCCUGGACGUGCAGUGGGUACGGGCAGACUAGAGUGUGGUAGGGGAGACUGGAAUUCCUGGUGUAGCGGUGGAAUGCGCAGAUAUCAGGAGGAACACCGAUGGCGAAGGCAGGUCUCUGGGCCAUUACUGACGCUGAGAAGCGAAAGCAUGGGGAGCGAACAGGAUUAGAUACCCGCGUAGUCCCUGUCUCUUAUAA
rnacentral:rRNA from 1 species